UGGUGCCUACAAAUACAAAAGAAAACACAAUACCAUUUCAUGGAUUUCAAAAACAGAACUCACAAAACAUGCAAUUAAGAUUAGCACAGAAGAGAGAAGUGAGAUUUUUCUGUCAGUGCUCCAUGAAUUUUAAUCAAAGAAUGUAUGCAAUUGUAGAAUUUUCAGAGGAGGGAACAUGUGAAAUGGUGCCAGAUAUCUGGUUGUUUAUGAAGGAUGAGGUACAAUACUGUUACUGGCCACCAAUGAAUGCAAC